CGGCCCCUUUUGGGCGGGAAUCCCCGGGAACUGGGGUUAAUCCUCGAUAGGUGAAGAUUCCUGGAAUGGGUUUUCGCCCAAAAGACGUUUAGGUCAUGCUUCUAGACGUUGCCCAAGGAUGGGGCCGCGGCCGAUCAGGCUGUUGGUGAGGUAAUGGCUCACCAAACCUUUGACCGGUUCGGGCCGUGGGAGCGGUAGCCCGGAGAUGGGCACUGAGACAAGGGCCCAGGCCCUACGGGGCGCAGCAGUCGCGAAAACUUCGCAAUAAGCGAAAGCUUGACGGGGCCAUCCCGAGUGCCAUCUGCUGAGGAUGGCUUUUACCCAGUAUAGAUAGCUGGGGGAAUAAGGAGAGGGCAAGUCUGGUGUCAGCCGCCGCGGUAAUACCAGCUCUCCGAGUUGUGGGGACGUUUAUUGAGCCUGAAGCAUCCGUAGCCGGCUGUGCAAGUCCUCUGUUAAAUCCAGCGAUAAAUCGUUGGCCUGCGGGGGAUACUGCUCGGCUAGGGGGCGGGAGAGGCCGUCGGUAUUCUUGGGGUAGGGGUGAAAUCCUAUAAUCCCAGGAGGACCACCAGUGGCGAAGGCUGUCGGCUAGAACGCGCUCGACGGUGAGGGAUGAAAGCUGGGGGAGCGAACCGGAUUAGAUACCCGGGUAGUCCCAGCUGUAAACGAUGCAGGCUAGGUGUUAGGGCGGCCACGUGCCGCUCUAGUGCCGCAGGGAAGCUGUUAAGCCUGCCGCUUGGGGAGUACGGCCGCAAGGCUGAAACUUAAAGGAAUUGGCGGGGGAGCAC
rnacentral:rRNA from 1 species